rnacentral:rRNA from 1 species
ACUCCUACGGGAGGCAGCAGUGGGAAUAUUGCGCAAUGGGCGAAAGCCUGACGCAGCCACGCCGCGUGAGCGAUGAAGGCCCUAGGGUCGUAAAGCUCUGUGGAGGGAGAAGAAACCUGACGGUAUCCCUUUAGCAAGCACCGGCUAACUCCGUGCCAGCAGCCGCGGUAAUACGGAGGGUGCAAACGUUGCUCGGAAUCAUUGGGCGUAAAGCACAUGUAGGCGGCUGCGCAAGUUGGAUGUGAAAGCCCGGGGCUCAACCUCGGAAUAGCAUUUGAAACUGGCAGACUAGAGUACUGUAGAGGGGGUAGAUUUCAGGUGUAGCGGUGAAAUGCGUAGAGAUCUGAAGGAAUACCGGUGGCGAAGGCGGCCCCUCGGACAGAUACUGACACUCAGAUGCGAAAGCGUGGGGGAGCAAACAGGAUUAGAUACCCUGGUAGGCUCUGCU